rnacentral:lncRNA from 1 species
CCGCACCUACGCGAGUCCCGAGGAGCGGCUCCGUCGGUUCGAGGUGUACCGCCGGAACGUGGACUACAUCGAGGCCAUGAACCGGCGGGGCGACCUCACCUACGAGCUCGGCGAGAACCAGUUCGCCGACCUCACCGUGCAGGAGUUUCGGGCUAUGUACACCAUGCCGGCGCGCGUCGACUCUCGUCCGGACGCAUGGCGCCGCCGCCAGAUGAUCACCACGCUCGCCGGGCCG